GGCCACCCUGCAGUGGGCAAAGAGACACCCUGUUGGUGGUGGUGUUCUUAUAUCAGUCAGGGGCUGGGCAGAUGGAAGUCCUUUGUCCAUACUAGCUUGAUGCCUGGUUAGAUAGACAGUUAUUUUAUGCCUAGGACACAUAA
rnacentral:snoRNA from 1 species